AGUCCUCCUCAAUGAGGGGAGGGAGCUGCAUUUUUUCCUGCACCUUAAUUCUUCAUCAGCAAGACUCUCCCUAAGGUCCUCAUCCCCAACAGCAUCCUUCAGCUGCUUAGGAAGCCAGUCAAAGGAACUGGCGAUUCACUGAGUACAGCGCUCAUCUUCCCGGCCAUUUCCACAUCAGGCAGCUUAGGGUGAGAAGGUUCAUCCUGUCCUUUGCUUUCUCAACCCCUGGGCCAUCCCAUGGCUCCUCAAGACCCCGUAAAUAGAGUUAAGUGUACAGAUCACAGGCCUCUGCCACUAAUGUUUUUUCUUAUGUGCUUCCAAGCUAUAAGCAGAAGGCUCUUAUUUCAGAGAGCCCCAGUCUUGCCAGUAGCACCCUGCAUGGAGUUCAGAUGAAUUGCCCACCUAUAGUGCCUCGGAGAAUUCGCUCCCUGGCCUAGUGAGUGAGGCUCACCAUCGCUC
rnacentral:lncRNA from 1 species